rnacentral:rRNA from 1 species
GACGAACGCUGGCGGCGUGCUUAACACAUGCAAGUCGAACGGAAAGGCCCUGCUUUUGCGGGGUGCUCGAUUGGCGAACGGGUGAGUAACACGUGAGUAACCUGCUCUUGACUUUGGGAUAACUUUAGGGAACUGGGGCUAAUACCGGAUAGGAGCUCCUGCUGCAUGGAGGGGGUUGGAAAGUUUCGGCGGUUGGGGAUGGUCGCGCGGCUUAUCAGCUUGUUGGUGGGGGAGUGGCUUACCAAGGCUUUGCCGGGUAGCCGGCGUUGGAGGGUGACCGUCAACAGUGAGACUGAGAUAGGGACAAGACUCCUACGGGAGGGAGCAGUAGGGGUGGGGACACUAAGGCCGGGAGCGUGAUGCAGCAAUGGCGCGGGCGGGAGAACGGCCUUGGGGUUGUGAUCCGCUUUCGCCUGUGGCGAAGAGUGAGUGACGGUAAUGGGUAAAGAAGCACCGGCUAACUACGUU